CACCUUUGAAUUCUUUCUUUCUCUCAACUUUCUCUAAACCCACCUCAAACCCUGGCCGCCGCCUCUCAUUGAAACCCUAAUCCAUGGCUUCCCAAGCGCAUCAGAUACAUGUACCUGCCUCUCAUGGCUUCGACGAGCUCAUCUUUGAGGUCCUAUGACAAGAUCUUGAAGGGGUUUCGAUCAAACCUUUGCUUGAUGACUGUUCUCAGUUCGUCUUCAACCUUUGUCCAGGCCAACCAUGGCUAUUCGAGUUCGAUCUUCGACUUUUCUGUUUAGAUCGAUGGUUUUCAAAGCCUUUCUCAUCGUCUGGGUUUCUUGAGAAACCAUAAUCUCUAAGGUUCCUUCGAUUUUAUUUUUUAGAGCUGCUCAGAAUCUAUGUGUGUUUGAACUUUCUAAGCAUGUUUCUCAAAGUUUCUUUAAUUUUUGCUUUCAAAACUCUUUAUUUUUUUAAUUAGGGAUUUUAUAUGCAGUUACUUCGAAUCUAUUCUUUGAUUCUCGAUGUUUUGCUGUGUUGUUUUUCUAUCCGAGUCAGCAUGUUUAAAACCCUAAUUUUUGAGAUUUUCUUAGUCUGUUUGUUAACAUUUGUUUACCUUGUUUUUCUAUCUGAGUUAGCAUGUUGGAAACCUUGAUUUUCGGGGUUAAUCGAGAUUCUAAAUUUGUUUGCUUGUUUCACUUGUUUAGCGCCUCUAAACCUGACUGAUUUUGAAAACCAUAGUUCUUUGGGGGUCUAUUUGAGUUCCCGAAGUUCUUCGUUUGUUUGAAAUUGCUCAAUCUAAUUCCUUUACUUCAACAUUUCCUUUUCUUUAUGUGAUUCUUUGGUUUUGAGUUCCUGCUAUGUGUCAAACUCGACUAUGAUUUUCACUCGACGCUUUGCAUGCCUCUAAUCCUUUUUUCUAUUACUAAACCACUGAAACUUGAUUAUCAUGCUUUGAAUGCUUGCUCUAUGCUACUACUGUAUGUUAUUUAUUUUGCCAUAGCUUGUCCUCACAUGUCUAUUACUUGUGAAUUCCUUUAUAUACUGAGUAUAUUCUAUGAUUGAUUUUCAAACUCAUAACUGAUUUCAAAAUUUUUCCCUCUUACUCGUGUGUUAAGGGUUAAUUGAUUCUCUUUCUUGGUUUGGCCUUACUAAACCCUUUCCAAAAAUAAGUACAAUCCUAUACUUGGACUUAAAUACCAACUGUAUGAUUUUACAGUCCUUUUAUGGCAACAACCAUUCUGCUUACAGAUUGAUUUUCUUUCUUUAUAUUUAUCCUGUUAGUGUCCGUUGAGCAGUAGUCCCUUGAUUGACGCGAAAAACAUGUAUUAAUUGAUUUUGACUGUGAUUAUUUUCCAUGUAUGUGUUUAAACCUUAUUUGUUACCUCGUUUUAUACACGUUUUCAAAGCUAUAAAUACAUGUACCUUUUUCUCUUUCAAAAAUAAGUUAUAACUGAACAAAACUACUACCUCUCUGAAAUACAUUUAGAAUUUCUUAAAAGCAUUUAAGUUCUCUAAACUCACAAGUUUGAAGUUCCCUUCUCUGAUUGUGUUUUGGCUAAAAAGAAUCCUGCUUUUCUUUCCUUUGCAUACUUUUUGCAACUGGUAUGUCUCUCUUUGUGUAAUUUCUGCUUCUCCACUACAUGUUUAUUCUACAGCCUUUCCUUCGUUUAUAUUACUGUUUCAAUUUUCUGCAAGUUUACUUAUUUGUCUCUGUGCUUUCCUGAAUCCCCACCCCCAAUUCCCUUUGUAUGUUGAGUUAUGGCUCGGAAAACAUGAUAACACCUAACAUUGUUGUUCUUGUAUAUGGACUGGACUCCUUGAGUCCUAAACUCUUUCAAUUUCCAUUCCAUUUCCCCUCUUUACAUGUACUCUGAGUUUAAGACUAUGGUCUAAUAGUGUCCCAAUCAUUGUCUAGACCACAGCCUGACCUUCAACAGGUCUAUGCUCAUACUUGUUGGCUAAACAUGCUUGGUCAGAGGUGUGAUAGUCUACCUUAUGACUAGGUAUGACCACCAGCCUACCAUGGCACUCCCUAACCCUCCCCUUGCACUUACACUCAUUCUUAGAAUGUAAGUUCUGCCCCUCUCUUGUGAGCUUUGCUUUGGGACCCUUGAGCUCCCUCUGAACUCUGACACCUGAGGGCUAGCCCUUCCAUACUACACUAUAACUCUUUAUUAUUGAUAUCUUGGGUGUAAGCACUGCCUGAAGUUCUUGAAAUUCCUUGGAUAUUUGAAACACCCUUGAUAGGAGAAGGCUCUGGAAAUCUGGAUCUCAGAAGUGGUUCAAUCUCAUAUUGUUAGAUACUAAGUCUGAAUUAGGCUGCUCGAAUGUUGUUGUAAUUUCUAGUGUAUUUUUAAUUUCUGUCUUAUUUUUUGGUCUGUAAUAAUUUGUAUAAAAUCAUGUGAUUUUAGUGAAAAGGGGAGGGGAGGGUUACUUUUA
rnacentral:lncRNA from 1 species